UCCAUUGAUGCGGUAUAUGUCAAAUUGCGAAACGUCAAAUUGCGUGUUUUCUACAAAAUUGUGAAUAGUAAACAACAUGAAAAUGGUAUCCACUUUCCUUUUUUGGUAUCAAAUUUCGAAAUAACACAACAGUUUUGUUAUAGUUUUGGUAUUUAAUGAUGCUGCGGAUACAUUUUAACAUUGUUUUAGUGAAUUGUGUUUAAAUUACUGCGCAAUAUGCAUGAGACGGAAGUAAAUUACAGAAGUAACGUAAAGUUUAAUCUAGCUGGAAGUGUUGCGCAUGCUGUAUUUGUCGCAAACAUUCGACCUGGGGCGAAUACUGAACAAUCUAGUAAUAUAAAGGUGGAAUUUUAAAUCGUCAAACUGUAUCCGUAAACAAAGGCAAUUGGAAUGAUAUAUUUGUGUACAGCCUUAGCGCAUACCGCUCGUUGAGUAGAAUUUGUGUAAGAUGGACUGGUUCUAACUGUGUGCAAGUGACUGGUGAGUUGACAAACUUGUGCCUUGAAGCGCGUGAUACGGCAGAAAUGAUAUAGUAUAUCAGUAGCUAACGAUCGAAGAACUCUCGCCACCGUGUGAUGAUCGUCUGCAGUUUAUUUAACAUUUUAUUAUUGCCUACAGGAAUUCAGAUUCACACGGGUUAUUUUUAAAAGAAACUUCCUUCCAAAACAUGUCAAGGCUGGUGAAAGCAUUCGCGACCGCGAGGAACGAUGAUGAGCACACAUCUGAAUGCCACAUUGUAGAAAAAAACCCGUAAUGCACUGGCAUACGCACACAAACCGAUCAAACGCCGCCCAACGUUCAAGAGCGCGUUCACUCAAGGAAGUGUUCAUAACAACCCCCAGAUGUUUGGGGCCACAUUCCGAUACCGUCCCUGAACCGUACGGGGCCCUUCCUACCACUCAAACCAACUGGCCUAACAAUAAACAUGGCUAGAAAGAACAAACUUUCGCAGUGCAAAAACAGUUCCAGCAAAGACGCACCCAAUCUUCCCCUGUUCGUUGGAGUUUGACUUCUGAUAAUCAAUCAAUUUGUUGCUCGCCACAACCACGUGGAUGGGAAAUGGUGCAACUAAGAAAAAAAAACCUUUAAAGUUGGCAACUACUUCAGACCGAGACACUGAGUGUCACAUGGGAUGGUGAAGUUUAAAAAAAAAAAAAAGAAAGAAAUGAUUCUUUCCCUGCCACGACCCAGAAACCAUUUAUCAAAAGAUUUCCAUCGACCAUCAGCUUUGCGCACAGUUUGCCCUGAUUUGUGGCACAGUAGGGCCACGUGGUCGCUACUCCAAGAUGGGCAACAGGCCACCACAGUUCACGCUGUCAGCAGAAUUGGGUUAGAAUUUAUUGCCUUUCGCACAUUGUACGGUUGAAACGUAAUCGUUCACGAUCGCACAAAUCCGUUCAGUGUUUAUUUACGAACCGUAUUUUGACAGUGUGUGCGAUCAGUACGCGCACGGUUCUGUUUCCGGUUUCUGGCAUUUAAAGACACCCUAGUUGCGAUUGAUUCCGGUGACAUUGAAAAGACACGCUGGUGCUGGCUGGUGGUGUGAAACGAAACGAUCGAUUCGUGUG